rnacentral:rRNA from 1 species
CACUCUAAGUUGACUGCCGGUGACAAACCGGAGGAAGGUGGGGAUGACGUCAAAUCAUCAUGCCCCUUAUGAUUUGGGCUACACACGUGCUACAAUGGACAAUACAAAGGGCAGCGAAACCGUGAGGUCAAGCAAAUCCCAUAAAGUUGUUCUCAGUUCGGAUUGUAGUCUGCAACUCGACUACAUGAAGCUGGAAUCGCUAGUAAUCGUAGAUCAGCAUGCUACGGUGAAUACGUUCCCGGGUCUUGUACACACCGCCCGUCACACCACGAGAGUUUGUAACACCCGAAGCCGGUGGAGUAACCUUUUAGGAGCUAGCCGUCGAAGGUGGGACAAAUGAUUGGGGUGAAGUCGUAACAAGGUAGCCGUAUCGGAAGGUGCGGCUGGAUCACCUCCUUUCUA